ACAAUUAUACAGCAAAGUCUCCUGGGAGGGUUUAUAUGUUAAGCUCUGUCAGUAAUUUCUCCCCUAGCAAGAAUGAGGAAGAUGAAGAGCUCGGGUAUCUGAGGGCUGGUGUGUCUGCAUGCGUGUGUGUUUUGGGGGCCGACUGAAGGAAGAGAAGGCUGGAGAGAGGGAACAUGGGUCUGAGGGCACAUCGCUAAGGGGUCAAGAGGCCUAAAGGAGGAGUCUAAGGCUCUCCAUCGAACUUGGACUUGGUCUACAUUAGACUUUAACCUCCAUGAGGCUUGGACUUUCAGGCUUCCUCCCUCACACCGCGGGCAGGUGAGGCGUCUGCUACAGGCCUGGUCUCGCAGAGGGGGCCCAGCGCCCCCCGCCGCCGCCUUCUCCUGGAGUCUGUGUGACAGAAUGGGACCUGUGGGAAAGCAGCACGUCAGCACCCAGCCCCGCUUGCGCGCCAGCAGCUAAUUAAAGCCAGGAAGGUGAUGGCGAUUUUCAACUCAUUCCCGUUACAAACAGCCGACCUUCCUACCGAGUUCAAGUACCUUCUGCCUGGCCUGGAAGAACAAUAUCUCUCUGUCUCCCUCUUCCACUGGCCCUCACCUGCCUUCCCCUGAACAUGCAUUUUGCCUGACAGGAGACAGAGGCAGUUGAGAUGGAGUCUUGCUAUAUGGCCCAGCUGGUAAUGCCUAGAUUCUUGAGUCCCUCCCUGGCUCAUCCCUGGGAGCAGCACUGAACCCCUUGUCUGACACCUGUCUGGAAAUGGAGCCUGCACAUUGACCCUAGCCAUGUGUGGUCUUGUUACUAAGUGUUAGCCAGUGAGAGAACAUACAAGAGGAGGCCCAUGUUGAUUCAGAGGAUGAAUGAGAGAUGCUUGCAGCUUGGUCCAGGAGGCCAGCAGGACCAGAGAGAAGACCACAGCGACACAUGGGGAUGGCUGUCCCACAGGCAGAAAUGAGCAGCCGGGAGGAAGCCCAGGCAGCCAGCCACCCAGCUCCCUCCACAUCGUGGCCCUAGAACGGAGUCUUGAAGAAUAAGAAGCCACAGCUUGUCAGGGAAUCAGGCUGGAAAAAUGUUAUGAGACUGAGUAAGACCAGAG
rnacentral:lncRNA from 1 species